rnacentral:rRNA from 1 species
CCUACGGGGGGCAGCAGUGGGGAAUAUUGGACAAUGGGCGAAAGCCUGAUCCAGCCAUGCCGCGUGUGUGAAGAAGGCCUUCGGGUUGUAAAGCACUUUCAGUGGGGAAGAAAGCCUUGGGGCUAAUACCCUCGAGGAAGGACAUCACCCACAGAAGAAGCACCGGCUAACUCCGUGCCAGCAGCCGCGGUAAUACGGAGGGUGCGAGCGUUAAUCGGAAUUACUGGGCGUGAAGCGCGCGUAGGCGGUCUGAUAAGCCGGUUGUGAAAGCCCCGGGCUCAACCUGGGAACGGCAUCCGGAACUGUCAGGCUAGAGUGCAGGAGAGGAAGGUAGAAUUCCCGGUGUAGCGGUGAAAUGCGUAGAGAUCGGGAGGAAUACCAGUGGCGAAGGCGGCCUUCUGGACUGACACUGACGCUGAGGUGCGAAAGCGUGGGUAGCAAACAGGAUUAGAUACCCUAGUAGUC